GUUGUUUUCUUAUUUCCCCAUACGUUUAGUAGGAAUCCUAAACUCGACCAUGGAAGAUGGAGAGAUCAGUUUUCGGUUCAGGCCUGCACUUUUGAUUUCCUCAUUUCCAUCUCAGAGAACGAAAUCGAUUACAGAAACUGGAGAAGAUUAAAGACUCAAAUAGGCAGAGCCGGCAGUUGGAAGAACUUACAGGAAAGAUGCGGGAAUGUAAGAGGUUGGUGGAAAAUUCCAUUUUCAUGCAUGAUACUAGUUUAUUAGAUGAACUAGAUGUGGAAAAUUUCAUCCCCUAGAUGAAAGAACCUUUCCAUACUUGUCAUUGGGUUAUUGUUUCUCAAGCUUAUCAAAGAGUUUGACGGAGAAGUUAAGGAAGAGGAGAGUAGAAAUACUCCAGACACCAACGAAAUGCGUAGUGAGAAAAAACAAUCAAUGGUGUUGUUCACUCCUUAAAGAUCUUUACUCUUUAUAAGCAAUUGCAACUUCUCGGUGUUUGUUUGAAACUCUAAUAAGCUUUUUGUCCAUAUUCAUUGUUAUGUAUUGAACUUGAGAAUACUUUCUCAUUUUUUACAGAUUAAAGAAUUGAAUUCUUAUGUCGCUCUUAAAAAGCAAAAAUAGACUGUUGUCUUGAAUUCUUACUGCCGGAAGGGAAAAUGCUAAUAGAAGAACAACUGACCAUGUUGGUCUGGGAAGCAAUCAUUGAAACAUCAGAUACUACUCUGGUAACAACAAAAUGGGCUAUGUAUGAACUUGCGAAAAACCCCAAGAAUCAGGACUGUCUAUACCAUGAGAUUAAAGAAGUUUGUGGGCUGCAAAAGUUCACAGAGGAAAUCUGUCACAAUUACCAUACUUCCAAAUCCUACUGAGAAUCAGGUUGGAAAAAAUGUAUUAUGAAGAGAAGCUUUCUAAAAGAACACCUGAUGAACUUGAAAUGAUAUGGAAAUUUGUUGUAAGUUAAAUGAUCUUAAAUAAGUUGACGUUUGUCCUCUUCAUUUUUUCUUGUGCUUUUCACCAACAUUGGUCAGGUUACUAGUUUGCAGGGUCCUUGGCAUUUGUUUUUAAAACAUUCCUGCCUUGUCAUACUUAUCUUAUUCUUUGUCAGGCUUUAAAAAAUUCAUUCUAGAAGGGGUUCCUCUAAAUGGCUUUCAUAGCUAGUUUGAGAAAUAAAUACUGACUAGUCAAAUGCCAGCUUGUUGCUUUCUGGUAUUUCAAUUCACUAGUGGGCAUGUUUAUGGCUUCACAUGGUAUGUCUGGAUACUUCUUCCAAACUAAAUGGUAUUUACUGUUCUUUGUAAUUUCAGUUUCCAAGAUAGAAGGUAUGAAUACAAAGGUCUU